rnacentral:lncRNA from 1 species
CCUCAAAUUCUUGGGUCGACUUACUAGGCGUUGUAGGCUGCACGUGCCGAUUCACCACCCUUAAACCGAAUCCUUAAAGAUCAAGUCACCAACUGGAAGAAAAGCCCAUCAAUCUUGAAGAUCAUACCGUUGACCAAACUGCUCAGGUGUGAACUAGAAAGAUUGAACAAAGCAACAAGUCGUCACCUUCACCUCGUGCCUGCUUGCCAUGUGUUCGAGUCAACCUUCAAGAAUCAAGCCUUAACGGCCCUUGAAGAAGCUUCCAACCAAAUUCAAGAUCAAGCCUCGACGGCCCUUGAAGAAAAUCACAAGUCCGAUUCAAGAUCAAGUGUCUACCACCCUCGAAUCAAAAUCCUGUUCAAGAUCAAAGCUGUGGAAAAUCAACAAAUUGGAGGAAUCCAGAAAAUCCUCCAACCCAGUUCAAGAUCAAAGCUGUGGAAAGUCAACAAGCGCAACAAAAUACGUGCCGAUUCACCCACUACCAAAGCCAAAAGAUCAUCUACCACAUGAAGCUCCUUGUGGUCCAAUUUCAACCUUCAAGAUCAAGCCUCGACGGCCCUUGAAGAAAUCUCAAGCCCAAUUCAAGAUCAAGCCUCAACGGCCCUUGAAGAAAUCUCUAGCCCAAUUCAAGAUCAAGCCUCAAACGGCCCUUGGAUCGACAUCUACAGUAAGGGACUUCAAAACGCAUCUCCUACACGUGACAAGCACAUGUA